rnacentral:rRNA from 1 species
CACGUAGGGCGCAAGCGUUGUCCGGAAUUAUUGGGCGUAAAGAGCUCGUAGGCGGUCUGUUGCGUCCGCUGUGAAAACUCGGGGCUUAACCCCGAGCCUGCAGUGGAUACGGGCAGACUAGAGGUAGGUAGGGGAGAAUGGAAUUCCCGGUGUAGCGGUGAAAUGCGCAGAUAUCGGGAGGAACACCGGUGGCGAAGGCGGUUCUCUGGGCCUUACCUGACGCUGAGGAGCGAAAGCGUGGGGAGCGAACAGGAUUAGA